rnacentral:rRNA from 1 species
AGUGUAGAUGUGUAUUGGUAAUGGUAGACGUUACAACGUAAUGUUCUACUACAAUAUGCAACACCGACCGCCAAUUACGGAUGUUGGUUCCGUAUUGGGGUACUGAUUAAGAGGAGCGGUUGGGGGCAUUGGUAUUUGGCAGCGAGAGGUGAAAUUCUUGGACCUGCCAAGGACUAACAAAUGCGAAGGCAUUUGUCCAGACCGUAUCCAUUAAUCAAGAACGAUAGUGAGAGGUUCGAAGACGAUCAGAUACCGUCCUAGUUCUCACUGUAAACUAUGCCGACCCGGGAUUAGUCCUAUGCCUUAUUGUUACGGCUUGGGUUGGUCCCCCUGGGAAACCUAAAGUUUUUCGGUUGCGGGGGGAGUAUGGUCGCAAGGCUGAAACUUAAAGGAAUUGACGGAAGGGCACCACCAGGGGUGGAGCCUGCGGCUUAAUUUGACUCAACACGGGAAAACUUACCGGAUCAGGACAUCAAAAGGAUUGUCAGACCGAAGAUCUUACAUGAUCUGGUGAUUGGUGGUGCAUGGCCGUUCUUAGUUCGUGAAGUGAUUUGUCAGGUUAAUUCCGGUAACGGACGAGAUCACAAUCUCCAUUUGACGAACUGGAGUAAAUGUAAAGCAUCUAUGUGUUUGGUAAAACAAAGAUGUAGAUGAAAUUUACGUUGUGGGUAAAGUGUGGAGGAGACAAGGAAAGGAGAGGGAGUGUGGCAACAUGCAACUUCGAAUGGAAAGGUUGAAUCUACAUUUUGCCUCCAGUCAAACAUUGUGUAGUUAGCUUUUAGCUGCAUGGUGUAUCAUGGAGAGACAACGGAACAUAAUCAAAAUCCGAGGAAGUGUGGCUAUAACAGGUCUGUGAUGCCUAAGAUGUCCUGGAAGGG